rnacentral:lncRNA from 1 species
UGGCAAAAGCAAAAGCAUGCAUGCCGAUACAUGCUGCUACCAUACAACAUACACAAUCAAGCUAGUCAUUAGGAUAUUAUACAACACAUCAAUACAUCAUCAUCCAAGAACAAAACAUAAACCUUACAUGUACAGAUACUAAUAAUUUAAUAAACGUAACUGCAAGCUUAAAAAUCUCACAAAAUUAAAACCAAGCCUAAACCUGAUAAAAUAAAUACCCAUAACUAAUUAUUCUUCUCAGACUUGUCACUAUCAUCGUUGGUACCUCCACUGCUGCUGCCUCCGCCACCGCCACCGCUAUAGUUAUUGAAGUCCUGCCUAGGAAUAUGGUGGUGGUUGUCCACACUGCUUCCAGGGUGCUCAAAGUUGUCCCCCUCUGCAGCAAGUAGCGUGGGUUGCUCAUGGUAAUUUGCGUGCAUUUCAGCCAUUAUAGCUCUCAUGCAUGUUCAUUGACAAACAAGAGCUCACCAUCAUUAGGGUUAGAACAAACUCUAGGUCAGCCCACCUCAUUCUUUGCUUUCACUUUUCACUGAAAAGCCAAAGAUCAAUUAAUUAACUAAACCAUUAUCUUAUGUAAUUAAAAGAAGUACCAGCUAGGAUGAAUAUAUACCAUCAAUUAAUAUUUAUAGAAACAAUAUAAUUGAUAUCUUGUACAAAAUCAAUAACAUAGACUUACCAAAAAUGGAGAGUGCAGCUAGAAGGGUAAUAUUAUAUAUGUGUUUUGGUAAGGAGCAAGGUGAGAAGUUUGAGCUGUAUAUAUAGAGAAGCAUAUACUAGGGUUUAUAUCCCCCGUAUUAUUAUUAAUAUUUGGUUAAUGUAAUGACAUGGUUGAUUUGUGAAAAUGAUCCAAAAACGACCUUGUUUUUA